rnacentral:rRNA from 1 species
GUCGGGAGUUAGGAAAUGCAAGGAUGUUAAUAGCGUUCUUGCUUGACUAAGGCUCCGGAGGAAGCCACGGCUAACUCUGUGCCAGCAGCCGCGGUAAUACAGAGGCGGCAAGCGUUGUUCGGAAUUAUUGGGCGUAAAGAGCACGUAGGCGGCUGUGUAAGUCGGUUGUGAAAGCCUUCCGCUCAACGGAAGAACGGCAUCCGAUACUGCAUGGCUUGAGUGUGGGAGGGGAGAGUGGAACUUCUGGU